ACCUGGAGCCAGAGUCACCCUUCGAUCCCCACGUGCUCCCGGAGGCCCGUGCCACGCACUGGUGGCCUUGGCCGGGCCCCGGGCUGGGCUCAGGGCCGCAUGGAGCCCCGGCUUGUACUUGGGAAUAGCCAGUGCUCCCCUCUACUGCAGGCCUGGCCUGAGGGCUCCCGACUCACAGCCACGCCCGCGUGGGCCUGUCAGGGCGGCUUCCGGGCAGCGCGAGAGCUGGGCUAGGGGCCACGCCUGUCCGCGUGCUGCUCACGCCCCCGCCGUGGGUUGUGGGGCGGUACCGUGGAGCAUCUGAUCCGCUUUUCCCAGACCUUAGCGCCUUCCUCUCCUGGGCAGAGGCCCCCGUGCCUGCUCCGUCUGGGUGCCUUACUUAGCAUCUCGGCAAGGGUCCGCCGUGUUCCCCGCGCCCCUGGCCAGAACGACGUUCCGUCCGGCACAAACCCCGUUGUUGGCAUUUAUGUCCCCAAACAGCAGCUAUUUGGAGAGCGUCACCCACCCAAACCGAAGGAAGAGAUACGUGUGAUCUCUUUUUUUGGAGAAUCGGGGGACCCUCCCCGGCAGGUGUCUCUAAUGGCACGCGACUUCUCUGGCGGCCCGGACACCGGGCCCCGCAAGAAGAUCCGUGGGAAGGAGCCCAGGGCGAUCGGAAGCUGGGGCUGGCAGCAGCCGGGCAGCGUGGUCUCCCUGGGAAGUUUGGAAUCCAUGGCCCCAGUGGUUUCGCUGUGGCACGCAGUUUGGGAACCGGCCAGCUUGGAGGGCCCCAGAGGCUCAGCUCCCCUGAGCCUGUUUUCCCUGUAAAGUGGGGGCCUGUGGGGGUGGCAGUCUGGGAGGCUGUGGCUCGGACCUGUCAGCUCAAACCCGCUAGAGCCAGACAAGCGCAGUUCAGGAGGCUGGCCGUUGUCCACGCGGCCUGGCCGGGCAGGGAUCUGGAGCCUGGACCAGUGUCCCCCAAAUCCGGGUCCACCCAGAGCCUCGGAAUGAGACCGUUUUUGGAAACAGGGUCUCUGUGGGUGUCAUUUCGCUGAAGAUGGAGAUGAGGUGAUCCCAGAUCAUGAUGGCCCUAACCCUAAAGGAGGAGAGACAGACACAGAGGAAGCACGUGACCCCGAGGCAGAGUGAGCCACGCGGCCACGAGCAGGGAUGCCAGGAGCUGGGCGAGGCAGGAGGGGCCUCCCCUGGAGCCUCCCAGGGAUCGCGGCCCGUGACACCUUGACCUGGGGUGUCUCCCCCGCAGGGCCAUUGGGGCACACCGGUGUGUUAAGUCCUCCCUCUCCAUCUGGGACGCUUUGUGGCCGCCCAGGAAACGACUUGGCCAGGCCUGGAGGAGAUGGGAGCACAGGGGCCCCCCUGGCCCUUGGGGGCGCACGCCGGCCUCCUCUGGCCCCCAGACCUCCCAGGGUGAGGAGUCAGUGGGAGGGGGAUGGGAGGGCCCUGUGGACGGGGCCCCGUCCCGCAAGGGAUGCCCCGGCCCCUCUGUUUGGCGGCCGCCGUCGCCCAGCCCGGGACGCAGCUGGUCCGUCCGCGGCCCGAGACCCUCUCUGGCCUGCCGUGCCUCGGGACUGGCGGCCCUGCCUGGCUCUGAGCCCCGAUGAAGUUCCUCCGCACGUGUCCCCGACACAGCUCCACAUCCAGACGUGGCGUCCCGUGAUGCUGACGCCCACGCUGGGGCGUCACCUGCCGCACGGACGGGGAAGCUGAGGCUCGGGUGCACGCAGGCCCCGCCCCAGUAGCCCCCCCACCGCCGCCCUGGCCCCAGUCCCCCGACGGUGUCUCAUGUACUCGGCUUGCACAGCUGCUCCUGGCUCUGCCCGGAGCAGACACGCUUUCUUCCACCAAGACCCCCUCGGGGCCACCGCUCCCGUUUCUCAUCACGUGCAGGGGAGCUCAGCUGCCUCCAUCCCACGGAUACCUACUGAGCAUCUGCUGAAUGUGGCGGGAGCCUACCCUGCCGGGGGCACCUUGAACCCAGAUCUUUUUUCUAAAGCCGCUUCUUCAAACAAGAUCUCACCCCGUGCCAAGUGUGGGAUUGACAGAUGUGAGACCAAAGUUCAGAUGCGGUGAAGGGUCUUGAGGCCCUGUGGGUCUCCAUCACCUCCCUCGUGACCCCUGGGCCUGUGAGCGAGGACAGGAAGGGGCCAGACCGAGCUUGGCAUUCGAGGCCCUUCACAGCUGUGCCUCAGCCAGUGGACCCACCACAGACACCCUCCGUUCCUAACUGACCAAAUAACAUCACCAUGGUGACAGGCAAAGGGACAGCCUCAAAGACGUCCCUGUCCUGAUCGUGGGACUGGGGACCUAUCCCCUCACGCAGCAGAGGGGACCUCGUCAAGGCCCCCGAGGCGGGGGUAACCCUGGGUGCUCCGGGGGGCCCGGAGGCCUCACAAGGCCCUCUCGAGAGGGAGGCAGAGGGUCAGAGGCAGAGAGACAGGCAGACCCCGCGCUGCUGGCCGUGAGGAUGAGGAGGGGCUGUGGUCCCAGGAUGCGCCCCCUCUGGAAGCCAUAAAAGGGGGGAGAGGGCUGUCCCUGGGGCCCUGGGGAGGAACAUAGCUCUCCGUUUUGGACUUCUGAUUUCCAGGACCAUAAGGUAAUAAGCGUGUGCUAUUUUAAGCCAUGAGGUUUGUGGUAGUUCAUUACAGUGGCAAGAGGAAUCUGAUGGACCAUGUGAAGCCCUCACGUGGCCCCUGGCACACUCUCGAAAUGUCCCCACUGUUGUAGAAGUCAGAAGAAAUUGGAAUAGAAAAGCCAGAGCUGGGCUGGGGCAAGAAGUGGACGUGGGCCUGCAGGCCUUAACGUACCUCCUCCUAACUAAACCUGAGCUCUGAGUUUCCUAGCAGCCAAAGCAAAAAGAGAAAGGAGAGGAGCUGUGUGACUCUUGUUGCCUGCAAAGAGAAAGCUUCUCUCCCAACGUCCUUCUGGGGCACGGAGCAGUUCCUUGGGGUCGGCAUCCCACGCCCAUCUCCCCGGGGACUGCUUAUGGCGUUGGUUCCCAGUCCUGUGGUUGGUCUUGGCUCUGGCUUUGCUGUCUGAGGGCCUUUGUUCCUUCUGUUGUGCCUAGGGCUGAAUCAUUGGAUGUUAGGGGUACCGGGUUCUGUACCAGGAACCAGGAACCUCCCCUGGUUCUGUACAUGAGCCGACCCAGACCCAGGACCAUUGGUGGCAGGUUGGUCACGCCUUUAUGUGGGGUCCUUGUUUUAUUGUUGUUGUUGUUGUUGUUGUUGUUGUCUUAAUUUUAAUUUUAUUUUUAAGUAAACUGUAUGUCCGAAAUGGGGCUUGAACUCAUGACCCCAAGAUCAAGAGUUGCAUGCUCUACUGGCUGAGUCCAUCAGGCAUGCCAGGGUUCCUGUUUUAUAGACACCCAGGUGGGGCCCACAUCCUGUGGGACCCUGCUGUCAGGAAUGCAGGAGGUCAAGGCUAACCCCCCACUCUGAGGUGGCUCUGCCCUGCGGGGCGGGCCUGGCGUUCAAACCACGAGCCCCCUGCAGAGGCCCAGAGCCCAGGGGCCCAGGUUCCAGUUCGGAAGGCCCAUGCACCCAGGGGUUAUCUAUAAAUUUAAGGUCUGAUACUCUCUUUUUCUGUUUGUUCGUUAAGGUUUUUGUGACGAGAUGACUUUUAAAGCACUUUAGCUUAUAGGGAGGUUGCAAAAACAGUACCAACACUCCUCGAACACUGUCACUCGUUUGCCCAGUGUCCUGGCACGUUGUUGUCUUCUGGAACCACGGUCCAUUAUCACGGCGCAGAGAGUAGCCCCCGCACAGCACCAGUGACUGACCCGAGGGCCGGGGCUGGGGCCCCGAGGCCUCUGUAGAGAGCUGGUCGGUCGCCGCCGAGGGCCCCUGCGUGGGCUGGCCUGGGGCCCUCACGCUAAGGAGGGGUUCUGUGUUGUUGACAGGAGUCCCGCAGACGGGGCGCCGCGUCCUCCUGGGGCGUCACUUCCAAGCCUGCUGGCGUUGGUGUGCCUUACCGCUGACGGUCCUGCCCUCCAGCCCCGCGCCUCCCUGUCCCCCAUCCACUGUCAGGUCGCUGCCAUUUUCCCCUCUCCCCCUGCGAGGGUGCGUCAGGGACCCUGGUCCCUUGUGGUGUGGAGGGGGGUGGAUUUCACCAGGCGCCAGUAGACGUUGCCUGCAGUGACGGCCGCCACGGGGUCUGGCUGGCAGACGUUUCUGUCCUUGCUCCGCCGUGUCGAUCAGCCGGAGGUCUUCCGUAGGGAGAGCUGUGCCUUCCCUUACUCAGUCAUGUUGGCGACAGCACGGGCUACGGUCAGGUGCUAUCCGCUGCUUCUGUGUUGGCUGUCGGAGCCUCUGUCCCUCUGUGUCCUCCCUUGUAGCCACUGGGAAUGGCCCAGGCCCACUCCCUGAGGUCCCUGCCUCAGCCUUCAUGCCACCUGCUUCCCCAGGGAAGGGCCCCUUCUCACUGUGCGUGGCACAGAGCCACUGAGGCCCCCACGUCUGUUAGCGACCUGGAUAGUCGAGGGGCCCCACCUGGAUAGUCGAGGGGCCCCACGUGGGGUCUCCCACCGCCCGGGAGCACUGUGUGUUGGGUGUGAGUGCGUGGCUUUUCACUCGUUCUUUACUUUUAGGUGAGAUAUGAUUUGCGUGUCACACAAUUCACUGACUUAGCAAAUUCACCGGGUUAUGCAACUAGCACCUCCAUGUAAUUCCAGAAUGUUCCAUCACCCCAAAAGGAAACCCCCUUCCCGGCAGUGGAUGAGCCCGUUCUGGACGUUUCACACACGCGGACUCACACCCCGUGUGGCCUCUCGAGUCGGGUUCCCUCCCUGAGCGUCGCGUGUUCGGGGUCCGUCCGCGGGGCGGCGGGGGCGGGAACCUCGCUCCUGCUCGCGGCUGAGGGACGUGCGCGUGCGCGGUGGACACGGUCCUCGGUGGACGUGCGCGUCCGUGGUGGAUGUGUUGUGGGUGUCCGUUUAUCCCUCGUUGGGCAUCUGGGUUGUUCCCACAGCGUGGAUUUGGGUGACUGUGAAUUGUGCUGCUGUGAACAUCGGCACUAGGGGUCAAGACUUGGACAUGUCAUUUGGGGGGGACACAAUUCACCCCUCAACAGGAACAUUCCAGCAAUGCAGUGUGCCUGAGGGGAGCCUGCAAUGCCCACCACACCCUCUGCCGGCCACCCUUGCCCAUCAGUCUGGUGCCGAGAUUUGGGGGACAGAUACUCAAAGGUCGUGAUCUCACGGUUCGUCAGCUGAAGCCCGGCA